rnacentral:rRNA from 1 species
GGGAAAGCCAACGUCAUGGCUGAUGCGCUAAGUCGUAAAUCUUAUUGUAACAACCUGAUGUUACAACAAAGUCAACCGCUUCUCCAUGAGGAAUUUCGGAAGCUUAACCUUCACAUUGUACCUCAAGGUUUUCUUUCCACCUUGGUGGCAAAACCUACCCUUACGGAUCAAAUUGUCAAAGCACAGAAGGUAGAUCCGGGAAUCUCCCGCAUCAAGAGGAACAUUCAGAAAGGAAUUGCGAAUUGUUUCUCCAUUAAUGAUCAAGGAGUCGUAUACUUCGGGAAUCGAUUAGUGGUUCCCAAAGUGUGCAACCUAAGGCGAUUAAUCCUUAAGGAAGCUCAUGAAUCUCCUCUCACCAUUCAUCCCGGUAGCACUAAAAUGUAUCAGGACCUACGCCAGAGGUUCUGGUGGACUAGGAUGAAGAGAGAAAUC